rnacentral:rRNA from 1 species
UACGUAGGGGGCAAGCGUUGUCCGGAAUCAUUGGGCGUAAAGAGCGUGUAGGCGGCCCGGUAAGUCCGCUGUGAAAGUCCAGGGCUCAACCCUGGGAUGCCGGUGGAUACUGUCGGGCUCGAGUCCGGAAGAGGAGUGUGGAAUUCCUGGUGUAGCGGUGAAAUGCGCAGAUAUCAGGAGGAACACCAAUGGCGAAGGCAGCACUCUGGGACGCGUCUGACGCUGAGACGCGAAAGCGUGGGGAGCAAACAGG